AACAGGAUUAGAUACCCUGGUAGUCCACGCCGUAAACGAUGAGUGCUAGGUGUUGGGGGGCUACGCCCCUCAGUGCCGAAGGUAACCCAUUAAGCACUCCGCCUGGGGAGUACGGCCGCAAGGCUGAAACUCAAAGGAAUUGACGGGGGCCCGCACAAGCGGUGGAGCAUGUGGUUUAAUUCGAAGCAACGCGAUGAACCUUACCAGGGCUUGACAUCCCGCUGACCCCUCCAGAGAUGGAGGUUUCCUUCGGGACAGCGGUGACAGGUGGUGCAUGGUUGUCGUCAGCUCGUGUCGUGAGAUGUUGGGUUCAGUCCCGCAACGAGCGCAACCCUUGUCGUUAGUUGCCAGCAUUUCGGAUGGGCACUCUAACGAGACAGCCGGUGAAAGCCGGAGGAAGGUGGGGAUGACGUCAAAUCAUCAUGCCCCUUAUGUCCUGGGCUACACACGUGCUACAAUGGCCGGUACAACGGGUAGCGAACCCGCGAGGGGGAGCCAAUCCAAAAAACCGGUCUCAGUUCGGAUCGCAGGCUGCAACUCGCCUGCGUGAAGCUGGAAUCGCUAGUAAUCGCGGAUCAGCAUGCCGCGGUGAAUCCGUUCCCGGGCCUUGUACACACCGCCCGUCACACCACGAGAGUCUGCAACACCCGAAGUCGGUGAGGUAACCUUCGGGAACCAGCCGCCGAAGGUGGGGCAGAUGAUUGGGGUGAAGUCGUAACAAGGUAACC
rnacentral:rRNA from 1 species